AGCACCUCUUUGGCCGCUGCCCAGAUUGUUGAUAUUGGCAAAACUCUGCCAUUGUUCAAGGAGCUUCAAACCUUAGGUGACAGGACUUGAAGAACCAUGCUCUGCAAAGUGUCUUGUUUCCAAUGUUGCAGGUCUCAUUUAAUUUGAGUUGAACCUUUAUCAUGAAUUUUACAUCUUUCAUUUGGAAG